UACGACUACAUAUCAGGCAUAUCAAUAAGCGGAGGAAAAAGAAACUAACUAAGGAUUCCCUCAGUAACGGCGAGUGAAGCGGGAAGAGCUCAAAUUUGAAAUCUUCAAGGUUCUACCUUGACGAAUUGUAGUUUAAAGAAGUGUUUUCUGUUGAGUGUUUCGGUAAAAGUUCUUUGGAAUAGGACAUCAUAGAGGGUGAGAAUCCCGUAUUUGACCAUUAUUUCAGCUGUGUGAUACACUUUCAAAGAGUCGGAUUGUUUGGGAAUGCAGUCCAAAAUGGGUGGUAAAUUUCAUCUAAAGCUAAAUAUUGGCGAGAGACCGAUAGCGAACAAGUACCGUGAGGGAAAGAUGAAAAGAACUUUGAAAAGAGAGUUAAACAGUACGUGAAAUUGUCAAAAGGGAAGCGUUUGACACCAGUGUUGUUUUCUCGAAAAUCAAUUAAAAAAUGCUUGAUUUUGUGUUGUAUUGACCUUAAAAGCUUUCUUCACUUUUUUCAUGUCUUUUUAAUGCACUUUUCGUUUAACAAGUCAACAUCAGUUUCUUUUGUUGUAAAAAGGUCAUUGGAAGGUGGCUUUCUUUUCGGAGAAAGUGUUUAUAGCCUUUGACUCCUGCAAUCGGAGAGACUGAGGUCUGCAGCGUAGAUCCUUUCUGGAUUAGAUUCAGUUUGUGCUAAGUUACUAGCCUUUUAUAGACAACAUUGUUGACUAUAUUCGAUCCUGUAGCUUACUCGCUUAUGUAAUUUUACCUACGCUUAGGAUGUUGACACACGCGCGUGCUC
rnacentral:rRNA from 1 species